GAGUUUGAUCUUGGUUCAGGACGAACGCUGGCGGCGUGCCUAACACAUGCAAGUCGAGCGAGGGGAGUUCUUCGGAACGAACCUAGCGGCGGACGGGUGAGUAACACGUGGGUAACCUGCCUCAAAGAGGGGAUAGCCUCCCGAAAGGGAGAUUAAUACCGCAUAAUCCAUUGUUUCCGCAUGGAGAUAAUGGUAAAGAUUUAUCGCUUUGAGAUGGACCCGCGGCGCAUUAGCUAGUUGUGAGGUAAUGGCUC
rnacentral:rRNA from 1 species